UUUCCGUAGGUGAACCUGCGGAAGGAUCAUUCAUAAUAAAGUGUUUUAUGGCACUUUUUAAAAAUCCAUAUCCACCUUGUGUGCAAUGUUAGAUCUCGUCAAUCUUGGCGAGAUUUUUAUAUAUCAACUCAUUCUUUAACUAAUUUGUCUGAAAAAUAUUAUGAAUACUUAAUUCAAAAUACAACUUUCAACAACGGAUCUCUUGGCUCUC
rnacentral:misc_RNA from 1 species